rnacentral:tRNA from 1 species
CCUUCGAUAGCUCAGUUGGUAGAGCGGUGGACUGUAGAGUGUAGAGGAAAAAGGAGGGUCGUGGUACGGACUCUCGAGUACAUCAACUCUCCCAUCUCCCGAAACAAUAGAAAUCCAUAGGUCACUGGUUCAAAUCCGGUUCGAAGGA